ACCUCAAGUAUCCACAGCCCAAUCCAUAAGCUGUGGAAGGGAACCCGGUGAACUGAAACAUCUAAGUAGCCGGAGGAAGAGAAAACAACAUGUGAUUCCGUAAGUAGCGGCGAGCGAACGCGGAAGAGCCCAAACCGGAGUGCGUGCACUCCGGGGUUCGGACUGCAGAAUUGACGAGUGAGCCUAGUAGAAUGGUUUUGGGAAAGCCAGCCAGAGAGGGUGAAAGCCCCGUACACGAAAGGCAAGCAAGCAUGGCAGGAUCCAGAGUACCACGAGACACGUGAAACCUUGUGGGAACGCGCGGGGACCACCCCGUAAGGCUAAAUACUCCUUAGUGACCGAUAGCGCAUAGUACUGUGAAGGAAAGGUGAAAAGGACCCCGGGAGGGGAGUGAAAGAGAACCUGAAACCAUAUGUUUACAAGCUGUGGAACAUCUUUAUAUGAUGAACCGCGUACUUUUUGUAGAACGGUCCGGCGAGUUACGCUGGCUGGCGAGGUUAAGCACUGAAGGUGUGGAGCCGAAGGGAAACCAAGUCUGAACAGGGCGAAAUAGUCAGUCGGAGUAGACCCGAAACCGGGUGAUCUAUCCAUGUCCAGGUUGAAGUUGCCGUAAAAGGCAAUGGAGGACCGAACCCACAUCCGUUGAAAAGGGUGGGGAUGAGGUGUGGAUAGGGGAGAAAUUCCAAUCGAACCCGGAGAUAGCUGGUUCUCCUCGAAAUAGCUUUAGGGCUAGCCUCAUGCAAGUCUUACGGAGGUAGAGCACUGAAUUCCUAAGGGGGCGUCAAAGCUUACCAAGGGAUAUCAAACUCCGAAUGCCGUGUAGAUGGUGCAUGGGAGUCAGACUAUCCGAGAUAAGUUGGGUAGUCAAAAGGGAAAGAGCCCAGACCUACAGCUAAGGUCCCAAAAUGUGUGUUAAGUGGAAAAGGAUGUGGGAUUUCGAAGACAACUAGGAUGUUGGCUUAGAAGCAGCCAUCCAUUAAAAGAGUGCGUAAUAGCUCACUAGUCGAGAGGUCCUGCGCCGAAAAUGUCCGGGGCUGAAACACACUACCGAAGCUUAGGAAUUGA
rnacentral:rRNA from 1 species